rnacentral:pre_miRNA from 1 species
AUCGGAAAAGUCAUGAUGCAUUGUUACUUUGAAAAAUACAUCGCGACUUUUCCAUCG